UACGAAGGGGGCUAGCGUUGCUCGGAAUCACUGGGCGUGAAGCGCACGUAGGCGGGUCCUUAAGUCAGGGGUGAAAUCCCGGAGCUCAACUCCGGAACUGCCUUUGAUACUGGGGAUCUUGAGUCCGGAAGAGGUGAGUGGAACUCCGAGUGUAGAGGUGAAAUUCGUAGAUAUUCGGAAGAACACCAGUGGCGAAGGCGGCUCACUGGUCCGGUACUGACGCUGAGGUGCGAAAGCGUGGGGAGCAAACAGG
rnacentral:rRNA from 1 species